rnacentral:rRNA from 1 species
CCCUUAGAUGUUCUGGGCCGCACGCGCGCUACACUGAUGCAUUCAACGAGUCUAAAACCUGCUCUGAUAGGGGUGGGUAAUCUUUUGAAUGUGCAUCGUGAUUGGGAUAGAUGAUUGCAAUUUUUCAUCUUCAACGAGGAAUGCCUAGUAAACGCAAGUCAUCAGCUUGCAUUGAUUACGUCCCUGCCCUUUGUACACACCGCCCGUCGCUCCUACCGAUUGAAUGAUCCGAUGAGUAUCAUGGAUUGAGGAUGCAAGUAGGUUAGCCUAUCUUCAUCUUCGAGAAGUGAAGUAAAUCUUAUCAUUUAGAGGAAGGAGAAGUCGUAACA